ensembl:lncRNA
AGACACUUCGUUGACAAAAGCUUUGAGAAAUAUACUACUGAAUGGGAUGUCCAUCUAAAGAGACUUUUUGACUUACUCCAGAAUUACAUAUGGAAACCUCCACUGAAAUCCAACAGCCAAGACUACAUCAAUAAAAGUGCUUGGAAAGGCAAAGCCUGCUCACAUGAAGAACAGUCCAAAACAGACUUUGUCCAAAGAUAACAGCUUGUGGUCCCAGAGAUGGCUCCAGGAAAACAGGGAGAAUAUGAAGUCUGUCCAGACAAGUCUAUGAAUUCUCAGCAAUAUAUAUUGGCAAGGAAGAACUGAAAUUGCUAUACCAAGUCAUCAUAUCAAACUACUGGGAGUAACACUGUCAAUAGUAAAUUGCUAUGUUGCAAGACAGCAGGUAGCAAAGGAAGCUCCUAGCAGGGAGAGAUGGAUGAGAGAUAUAGUAGCUUACACCCCACCGGAAAGGAUUACCAGUGAAGCCCCAAAGGAGUAUAAACAAUUUGAUAAAAUUUGGACAGAGAUUUUAGUAGCACAGACAGAGGCUUUUUCAGUGAAAUCCUCCCCUCCAAUGCUAAGCACGUCAGGUGAGAGUCUAUGUUGUGCCUCUAGGAGAUGCAGCACAGACCUCAAAGCCAAGAGUCAAAGGGGAAAAUAAUGACUUUACAUUACCUCUGCAUCCUCAUAAUUCUGGGCUACCCCUGCAGAAUUGGCCUGAAUUUCUGCUGCUAUAUUCUGCUACAAUACACUUAACACAUCCAUCCUAUUCCAGCUUGGCUCUGUCCCUUUCUUGCCCCAGACUGAGACAGGCUGGAAGACAGAUUACUCAAAUGUUUUACCUGCAAACAAAUUUAUCUUCACACAGAUAUAUGCCAUGACAAAUCUUAGUCUAAAUGUUUAGAGUUUGGCAAAGUAAUAAACAUCUGAAGAGUCUAAAAAUGUGUUACAAAAGCUUAAAUGAUAUAUAGGGUCCAUUUUGUGGGGGUGGAUUUCAGGUUUUCUGUGUUCUGAAGUCCUUAUUUAACUAUUCAUAUAUUCAAGAAAAGAAAUCAACAAACCAAACCAAACCACUAGCACCACAACCACAAAAACAAACAAACAACAAAAAACAGCCUGAAGUUUCAAAUUACUAAGGUAAAUUAUAUAUUCACAGAAUCAGAAGCACAGAAUGAUACUCAUUCACUUUCAUAUUUUUCCCCUUAUCAGCCACGUUAUAUUGCAAAAAUCUAGAUCUGUGAAUUUUGUUUAGAAAGGAUUCAAACCUACAUUACAAUGUUUUGUCUAGUGACAGUAUCAGACUAAAGCAAUAUAUUGUCUUUGUAAAUUGGUAACGAAGACAUACCUCUCUGUAUAUAUAUGUAUAUAUAUAUGUUUUCUAAUUUUUUAGAAGGAAAUCAGCUUUCUGCCCUACAACAUUAUUAAAAAAAUUAACAUUUCAAGAGUUGCUGUCAUCUUUCACAUUUUUCAAGUAUCUUGACUCCCAUCCCUAUAACGUUUUUUUUCUGAUUAGCCUGCUGUCCUGUUUAAUCAAUAGAGCUACAAAGCCAGCUAUCUCUCACGCUAUGGUUAUCUUUCAUUGUACAGUACAUAAUGCCGCUAGUCCUGCUGAUAACAAAGAGCACACAGACAGAAUGUGGCACUGUGUGUUUGUUAUCUUCCACUCAACUAAACAUACCUCUUUCUCUCUUGGCUCUUAUCAAUGCAAAAAUGCUGGAAACAAGUUACUCCUAGUGUUAACACUGCACAUGCCACACAGUUGGGAUGGAGAAUUUUUCCUGUCUUAAGGCUGCCAAUUUGAUACGGCGCUACAAAAGCUUGCCAAUGUGAUGCAUCACCUUGUCAGCCUUUAAGAAGGCAGUGCGAAGUGGCACCAUCAGCAGCCAGCUGUACACAGCUAACCAGAAUGCUCUGGAUGCUCUGGGAGCAUAAGGCAGGGAGAUUGACCCCAGAGCUGUUCGUGGUUGACCUCAGACCUGCAAAAAGGAAAGUAAUCCAGUUCUAUUCUUUUUCAUUUCCUACAAAACAUAAAAGCUGAUAAGCUUUGGUCUCUCUUACGGCAAUAAGAAAACAGUUAAAUUGAACCUUCACUUCAGUUAGAGAACAAUCCAGUGAUUUCCGUUCUUGCAGGUCUGCCACUCACAAAGGAUGAAAGUGCCUUUCUCAGGAAAAAAAAAUAGGACCAUCUCUUACGUGUUCCCUGACACAAAACACCCUGGAUGCGAGUUCAGUCCCUCUGAACUUGGGAAGUAUAACUAAGAUAUUUUAUUGGUACUUGCAACAUACAUAGAAGAACUUGAUGUUCCACAUUUAAACAGAGCUUUGACCAUGUAUUCACACAAAAUUUGCAAGAGACCUGCCAUUGUUCCCUUUGCUCUCAGUUGAUCCUUAAAAAAGCUUAAACUGGAGAUUAUUGAAUUUCACAAUGUUUUCCUGUUUGUUUGUUUUUUUGUUUAUUUUUAUUUUUUUUUUCAAAAGAAAAGACUGGCAUGGCCCAUAAAAAAGCUAAAUGUGUAAGUUCCUAAGAAAUAAUAAAUUUUUGCUU